GAUGAAGAACGCAGCGAACGUGCGAAACGUAAUGUGAAUUGCAGAAUUCAGUGAAUCAUCGAAUCUUUGAACGCACAUUGCGCCCCUUGGUAUCCCGAGGGGCAUGCCUGUUCGAGCGUCAUUUCACCACUCAAGCCUGGCUUGGUGUUGGGCGACGUCCCCUUUGGGGACGCGCCUCGAAACGCUCGGCGGCGUGGCACCGGCUUUAAGCGUAGCAGAAUCUUUCGCUUUGGAAGUCGGGGCCCCGUCUGCCGGAAGACCUACUCGCAAGGUUGACCUCGGAUCAGGCAGGGAUACCCGCUGAACUUAAGCAUAUCAAUAAGCGGAGGA
rnacentral:misc_RNA from 1 species